CUUGACCAGCCUGAUUGGUUGCAGGAGGGGACCAAUCAGAGGUACCUCCCAUUUUUCAUCUGCAGCCCAAUGCAAAGCUGUAUUGAGGUAUAAUUGAUAUGCCAAAUAACUGGACACAUUCAACUUGUGCAAUUUGAUGAGUUUGGAGAUACACAUACAUCUGUGAAACCAUCACCAAAAUCAAGAACAACUUUCUCUGAUCUCUGUGGACAUGCUUAAAAUGGCUGACUCACACAGCAAGACUAUUUAACUGUGCCUAAAAUCAACCCACAUUCAGAUGCUAACUGUAAUCCUAUUCCCUGAUCCAUCAGGAAAAAGAGUCUGAUUGACAUAACUUGUCAAGUGUUCGCCCCAGCUUCUAUCAACUAUGGGGAAGGAAGGGCCAGAAGAGGUGUAACCAUCAUGGCUACCAGGUUUCGAAAUAUUUACAUUACAUACUGCAUUUAUUAAAAUACAAAUUAAAUCUGCAAUAAAAAAC
rnacentral:lncRNA from 10 species